rnacentral:rRNA from 1 species
ACCUUCGGGUCUAGCGGCGGCGGGUUAGUACGCGUGGGAACGUGCCCUUCUCUGCGGAAUAGCCACUGGAAACGGUGAGUAAUACCGCAUACGCCCUUCGGGGGAAAGAUUUAUCGGAGAAGGAUCGGCCCGCGUUAGAUUAGAUAGUUGGUGGGGUAACGGCCUACCAAGCCUACGAUCUAUAGCUGGUUUUAGAGGAUGAUCAGCCACACUGGGACUGAGACACGGCCCAGACUCCUACGGGAGGCAGCAGUGGGGAAUCUUAGACAAUGGGCGCAAGCCUGAUCUAGCCAUGCCGCGUGAGUGAUGAAGGCCUUAGGGUCGUAAAGCUCUUUCGCCUGUGAAGAUAAUGACGGUAGCAGGUAAAGAAGUCCCGGCUAACUCCGUGCCAGCAGCCGCGGUAAUACGGAGGGGACUAGCGUUGUUCGGAAUUACUGGGCGUAAAGCGCGCGUAGGCGGACUAGUCAGUCAGAGGUGAAAUCCCAGGGCUCAACCCUGGAACUGCCUUUGAUACUGCUAGUCUUGAGUUCGAGAGAGGUGAGUGGAAUUCCGAGUGUAGAGGUGAAAUUCGUAGAUAUUCGGAAGAACACCAGUGGCGAAGGCGGCUCACUGGCUCGAUACUGACGCUGAGGUGCGAAAGUGU